rnacentral:rRNA from 1 species
UGAACGCUGACAGAAUGCUUAACACAUGCAAGUCAUUGGCGAAGCUGCGCUUGCGCAGUCUAGCCAAGGCGGACGGGUGAGUAACGCGUAAGGAACUUGCCCUGCAGACAGGGAUAACAGACGGAAACGACUGAUAACACCUGGUAUUGUCAGGCUGGCGCAUGCCGGCCUGAUGAAAGGAGACGCUGCAGGAGAGCCUUGCGUCCUAUUAGCUAGUUGGUGGGGUAACGGCCCACCAAGGCGAUGAUAGGUAGCCGGCCUGAGAGGGUGAACGGCCACAAGGGGACUGAGAUACGGCCCUUACUCCUACGGGAGGCAGCAGUGGGGAAUAUUGGACAAUGGGGGCAACCCUGAUCCAGCAAUUCUGUGUGCACGAAGAAGGUUUUCGGAUUGUAAAGUGCUUUCAGCAGGGAAGAAGAAAGUGACGGUACCUGCAGAAGAAGCGACGGCUAAAUACGUG